UACAGAGGUCCCAAGCGUUGUUCGGAUUCAUUGGGCGUAAAGGGUGCGUAGGCGGCGCGGUAAGUCGGAUGUGAAAUCUCGGGGCUUAACUCCGAAACUGCAUUCGAUACUACCGUGCUUGAGGACUGGAGAGGAGACUGGAAUUUACGGUGUAGCGGUGAAAUGCGUAGAUAUCGUAAGGAAGACCAGUGGCGAAGGCGGGUCUCUGGACAGUUCCUGACGCUGAGGCACGAAGGCCAGGGGAGCAAACGGG
rnacentral:rRNA from 1 species